rnacentral:rRNA from 1 species
GUGGGAAUAUUGGACAAUGGGCGAAAGCCUGAUCCAGCCAUGCCGCGUGUGUGAAGAAGGUCUUCGGAUUGUAAAGCACUUUAAGUUGGGAGGAAGGGCAGUAAGUUAAUACCUUGCUGUUUUGACGUUACCGACAGAAUAAGCACCGGCUAACUUCGUGCCAGCAGCCGCGGUAAUACGAAGGGUGCAAGCGUUAAUCGGAAUUACUGGGCGUAAAGCGCGCGUAGGUGGUUUUGUAAGUUGGAGGUGAAAUCCCCGGGCUCAACCUGGGAACUGCCUCCAAAACUGCAUGACUAGAGUACGGUAGAGGGUAGUGGAAUUUCCUGUGUAGCGGUGAAAUGCGUAGAUAUAGGAAGGAACACCAGUGGCGAAGGCGACUACCUGGACUGAUACUGACACUGAGGUGCGAAAGCGUGGGGAGCAAACAGGAUUAGAAACCCGUGUAGUCC